rnacentral:rRNA from 1 species
CUACGGGUUGCUCCAGUUAGGAAUAUUUUGCAAUGCGCGCAAGCGUGACAAAUUGAGCCAGAGUGUUUUUCAAAUGAAAAACUUUUGCCAAAUGUAAAAAGUUUGGCGAAUAAGGACUGGGUAAGACUAGUGCCAGCCGCCGCGGUAAUACUAGCGGUCCAAGUCGCAGCCAUUUUUAUUGGGUCUAAAACAUCCGUAGCUUGUUUAAUAAGUUUCUUGUGAAAUUUUAUGUCUCAAACAUAGAGCGUGCGAGAAAUACUGUUAAGCUAGAGACUGGAAGGCGUAAGAAGUAUGUUUAAAGUAGCGGUAAAAUGUGUUAAUCUUAAACAGACUCACAAUAGCGAAGGCAUCUUACGAGGACAGUUCUGACAGUAAGGGAUGAAGGCUAGGGGCGCAAAACGGAUUAGAUACCCUGGUAGUC